rnacentral:rRNA from 1 species
UGGGGAAUAUUGCGCAAUGGGGGGAACCCUGACGCAGCCAUGCCGCGUGAAUGAAGAAGGCCUUAGGGUUGUAAAGUUCUUUCGGUAUUGAGGAAGGUUGAUGUGUUAAUAGCACAUCAAAUUGACGUUAAAUACAGAAGAAGCACCGGCUAACUCCGUGCCAGCAGCCGCGGUAAUACGGAGGGUGCGAGCGUUAAUCGGAAUAACUGGGCGUAAAGGGCACGCAGGCGGUUAUUUAAGUGAGGUGUGAAAGCCCCGGGCUUAACCUGGGAAUUGCAUUUCAGACUGGGUAACUAGAGUACUUUAGGGAGGGGUAGAAUUCCACGUGUAGCGGUGAAAUGCGUAGAGAUGUGGAGGAAUACCGAAGGCGAAGGCAGCCCCUUGGGAAUGUACUGACGCUCAUGUGCGAAAGCNNGGGGGAGCAAACAGGAUUAGAUACCCUGGUAGUCCACGCUGUAAACGCUGUCGAUUUGGGGGUUGGGGUUUAACUCUGGCNNCCGUAGCUAACGUGAUAAAUCGACCGCCUGGGAGUACGGCCGCANNNA